GGGGGGCGGGGGGGGGGGGCCGGGGGCGUGCGGGGCGGGCGGGGCCGCGGGGGGGGGGGGCGGCCGGGGGCGGGGGGCGGGGGAACCUGCCCUGGGGUUCGGGAUAACUCCCCGAGAGGGGUGCUAAUACCGGGUAAUGUCUUCGGACGAAAGAUGUAUCGCCUUGGGAUGGGCCCGCGUUGGCUUAGCUAGUUGGUAGGGUAAAAGCCUACCAAGGGGCCGAUCCAUAGCUGGUCGGAGAGGAUGGUCAGCCACACUGGGACUGAGACACGGCCCAGACUCCUACGGGAGGCAGCAGUGGGGAAUAUUGGAAAAUGGGCGAAAGCCUGAUCCAGCAAGGCCGCGUGAGUGAUGAAGGCCGUAGGGUUGUAAAGCUCUUUUACCCGGGAUGAUAAUGACAGUACCGGGAGAAUAAGCCCCGGCUAACUCCGUG
rnacentral:rRNA from 1 species